rnacentral:rRNA from 1 species
UACGAAGGGAGCUAGCGUUGUUCGGAAUUACUGGGCGUAAAGGGCGCGUAGGCGGCUUUUCAAGUCGGGCGUGAAAUCUCCGGGCUUAACCCGGAAGGGUCGUUCGAUACUGUUGAGCUAGAGUGUGGAAGAGGCAACUAGAAUUCCGUGUGUAGCGGUGAAAUGCGUAGAUAUACGGAGGAAUACCUGAGGCGAAGGCGGGUUGCUGGGCCAACACUGACGCUGAGGCGCGAAAGCCAGGGGAGCAAACGGG